AGCUCUGGAUUCUACUCUAGGGAACGCUUCCAGUUUUUCUAAUUAUUUUUGGGUUUUGCUUGAGAUAGCUCAAUGUGACUUGAAGGCGAGCAUACUUUUAAUUCAAAAACCUGUGUUGACUGAUUAAUAUCUUUCCCUUGUGACAGUAAUACAUAAUUCCCUUUUCCUUGCAGUGUGAUGCUUUAGUUCAAUCACUUGAGGUCCGUCCUGGGACUUUUCCCACUGGAGGAGAAAAGUGGGAGGUUAGGUAAGAGCCACACCACUAGGCAACUCAGAGAGACAAUAGUUUAGUUAUCUGAUGUUGGGAGUUGAGGAGCGGCUCUAGAAUCUUCCGUUCCCAUCUCUUCAGAUCUUAGCGGGUUCAUGGUAUCUCUUCAGAAACUAUCCUUUUCAUGGUGACAUUGGAGCCAGUUUCUAUUUACAGUGCAGAUAUCUGAAUGAGUACAGACACUAGUCCCAGAAAAGGGUCUAAAGAACACGGUAAGCUUUUCUGGAGUUGGUCUGAAUGAGCUCUUAGAACUGUCAGGGGCUUGGCUGGCAAGGACACAGGGACAACCCAGCAGGCCAUUCCUUCCACACGUUCACAUUGCUGUGAGAGUUAGGGGAACUUGUACUCUUCAUCUCUAAGUCCUACCUCCUACUCUAAAUUUCAUUAGAACAUGAGGCAUGAUGAGGCCAUGUGGGGUGUCAUAACUAACAGGGACAUGGAUUAUCAAGGUAGCAGUUGGCAAACAGCAUUUACUUGAUUGGUUAAACAUGUCAAGCAAUUUUUUUUCUUAGAUUUUGAGAGAUCAGAGCCACAAUUAUGUCUUCAGUUCUGUCUAUAAAGCAGCUACAGAAAUCACUAUAGAUGUGAAUACACACUCACAAGUUGUCACUCCCAAGUGUGGACAGCAAGAUGUAAGAAUGUUUGCAAGAUCCCGGGCAUAGUUAAUUUUCCUUGGUGACUGCUGCACCAAGGAAAGAUUUAAGGAAAAUCAGAAGGUAUAGAGCACCCCUUCCUCUCUUUGUGGCCCUCUUCCCUGACUGAAUUUCAGGAAGCUGCAGGGAUACAGGUUAACUUUGGAGCCUCAGUUCUUCACGUUUGCCGGCGAGUGUUCCUUUAGUGAACAUGGCAGAGGCUCCCACACGGCGGCAAUUCUUCCCUUUGCUGACAUUCUAGCUUGUCUUUAUCUUAUGCAGCUUCCUUCUGUGGAGCAGCACAAUUGCUUCCACAUAUAAAUUAGGAAUGCAAUUUAGCCUCUCUCCAACUGUUAGUAUUCGUCCUUUUCUGUAAGGUCCGUACUCUAGAUGAGACAAUAUUUGAUUUUGUUCAGCUAAUUUAGUGCAUCUUUUCUAGGGCUACUGAGCAGCCAAACUGGAGGAGGGAGAAGAGACACAAUUAUUCUAAGUACUUUUUUAAGCCCCGCAUUUCCUCUUGUUCCCUACUAAGUCUGCAUAUUUUUCUCCAACCGGUUUGCUAUGUUCCAUGUGUGACUUUAAUAAAAUGUUUUCCUUCCAGGAAACAUCUGAGUUAACAAAUAUUCUUUUUUUAACUUCUGGCAGGCUUCAGCCUUAACAUUUAGGUUUCAUAUCAGCUCUGGCUUAGAAUUUUCACUUGACUGUAAGCUAAGCCACAGCUGCUAAUAACUGCUGGGAUUUUAUUAAAAACUGUAAUCAGCAGCAUGACAGCAUGUGGCUUUUGACGAUGAAGAUCGAGAAGGCUCAAAUAUCGUCUUCCCUGUCGGGCUGCUUGCAAGCGGACAUCAGUAACAAGACUUCAUUUGGGUCGGUCGCCACUUUGACGUCAGACAGUCCUUUCGCCCAAGCAGAUGAGCCGACCAACCACAAGAACGAAAAGACCACAGUGACAAUGAAAUCCUUCACAGAGAAAAGACAGGAAAAAACAAACAAACAACAGCUGGAGCAGAAGCUCUUUCACCAUUACCAAGCACAAGUCUAGGACAUGAGAAUGUUGUUAUUUAGGAGAAAGGUCUCCACAGCCAACGAGAUGGCUUAGUGGGAGAAGAAACUUACUACCAAGCUUGAUGAGGAUCUGAAUUGUCUCCAAGAAGUAUUUGGAAGAGACAUUGCAGCCAAGAUGGUCUAUUGUCUAUUGUCUGUGGCUCAUGAGUGGACUCUAAGGAGAGGUGAGGUCUCAGCUGUUCCUGCCAUCCUUCCCUGCAACGAUGGACUGGUAUCCUGGAACCUAAGGCCAAAUAAACUCUUCCUGCUAUGCGGUGCCUAGGACGGGUUACAGUGUGUUAUCACAACGAUAGAAGGUGACUAUCCAGUGCACUGCUGUCAUGUGUGACUAUACAUACAUACUAUACAUUUGUAUACAUUGUAUACAUACUAUACAAAACCAUAAUCUUGCAGAAUAAAGAGUUGCUGAUGUUC